UAUUUAGAAUACUAUAAAGUUUAAUAUAAGCUUAUCAUUGAACCAUAAAAGAUCAUAUUUGUGGCUGAUCAAAGGAAUGAAAUGAAAAGAAUAGUUACACAUAAAUACAAGAAAAUAACAAUACAAAUUCUAACAAUUAAACAUGGCGAUUGUAUCACACAGUAAUAGAACGCGGGGGAAAUAUAUAAGAAUAUAUGAGAAAGAAAUGUUAACCAAAAG
rnacentral:lncRNA from 1 species